rnacentral:rRNA from 1 species
UACAGAGGGUGCAAGCGUUGUUCGGAAUUAUUGGGCGUAAAGCGCGUGUAGGCGGCUUUGCAAGUCGGGUGUGAAAGCCCUCAGCUCAACUGAGGAAGUGCGCCCGAAACUGCAGAGCUUGAGUACCGGAGAGGAUGGCGGAAUUCCCCAAGUAGAGGUGAAAUUCGUAGAUAUGGGGAGGAACACCGGUGGCGAAGGCGGCCAUCUGGACGGAUACUGACGCUGAGGAGCGAAAGCGUGGGGAGCAAACAGG